rnacentral:pre_miRNA from 1 species
UCAACUCAAAUUUGUAUGAAGUUGGAACAGCGCCCCUAGCGGCAAACGUAGGCAAACGUUCCAACUCCAUACAAAUAUGAGUUA